rnacentral:tRNA from 1 species
GCUGUGGCUCAGUGGUAGAGCAUCUGCUUUGUGUGCAGAAGGACCCAAUUCAAUUCCCGGCAUCUACA